rnacentral:rRNA from 1 species
AUUGAACGCUGGCGGCAGGCCUAACACAUGCAAGUCGAGCGAGCGGCGGACGGGUGAGUAAUGUCUGGGAAACUGCCUGCUGGAGGGGGAUAACUAAUGGAAACGGUAGCUAAUACCGCAUACCAUCAGAGGUGCCCAGAUGGGAUUGGCUAGUAGGUGGGGUAAUGGAUCACCUAGGCGACGAUCCCUAGCUGGUCUGAGAGGAUGACCAGCCACACUGGAACUGAGACACGGUCCAGACUCCUACGGGAGGCAGCAGGGGGGAAUAUUGGACAAUGGGCGCAAGCCUGAUGCAGCCAUGCCGCGUGGGGGAAGGAGGCCUUCGGGUUGUAAAGCACUUUCAGCGGGGAGGCGUUGCCCGCAGAAGAAGCACCGGCUAACUCCGUGCCAGCAGCCGGGGUAUUC